rnacentral:lncRNA from 1 species
UAGUGUAACAUGUUACAAACAAAUCAGCUGUAAUACGACUCGAAUGCGGAACGAAAGGUGGAGAUGCGACAGUUUUAUUUGUCGUUCAUCAUGCGCUGAGUACCUAUCUUUAAUUUUUUUUUUUUUGGAGAGUAUAGAUAGUAAGGUACUCACUUCAUUUUUUUUUUAUUUUAUUUUUUGUUAAGAAUGAACUCAACUAGAAAUGUAAAAUAAUUAGUUUUUGAACUUAGAACCUCAGAUACCAACCAUCAAACUCUAGCCAACUGCAUGAGCUAUGUACGGUCAGUAAAUCUUAAAGUGCCAUGAGCCAUACCUUUUGUAAAUAUUAAACCAAAACCGCUGGACUUACGGAGCAGUCGAUCUGUUCUCACACUGAGUAUCGUGACUACCGUCCUCGCAAAUUCGUCCUUCUUUCCUUUUUUGAACAAAAAUUUGGUUCAAAACAUACCGUUUCUAAUUAUUUCAGAUCAUUUUACGUACCGUUCAGCACAGAAUCACCACACAUUU